AUGGAGGGGGCGCUUGGCGCCAACUGGAGCGCCGAGGCGGUCGACGGGAGCGCGGCGCCGCCGGGGGCCGAGGGCAACCGCACCGCCGGGCCGCCGCAGCGCAACGAGGCCCUGGCUCGGGUGGAGGUGGCCGUGCUGUGCCUCAUCUUCUUCCUGGCGCUGAGCGGCAACGCGUGCGUGCUGCUGGCGCUGCGCACCACGCGCCGCAAGCCCUCGCGCCUCUUCUUCUUCAUGAAGCACCUGAGCAUCGCCGACCUGGUGGUGGCGGUGUUCCAGGUGCUGCCGCAGCUGCUGUGGGACAUCACCUUCCGCUUCUACGGGCCCGACCUGCUGUGCCGCCUCGUCAAGUACCUGCAGGUGGUGGGCAUGUUCGCCUCCACCUACCUCCUGCUGCUCAUGUCGCUCGACCGCUGCCUGGCCAUCUGCCGGCCGCUGCGCGUGCUGCGCCGCCGCGCCGACCGUCUGGCCGUGCUCGCCACGUGGCUGGGCUGCCUGGUGGCCAGCGCGCCGCAGGUCCACAUCUUCUCGCUGCGCGAGGUGGCCGACGGCGUCUUCGACUGCUGGGCCGUCUUCAUCCAGCCCUGGGGGCCCAAGGCCUACGUCACGUGGAUCACGCUCGCCGUCUACAUCGUGCCCGUCAUCGUGCUUGCCGCCUGCUACGGCCUCAUCAGCUUCAAGAUCUGGCAGAACUUGCGGCUCAAGACGGCGGCGGCGGCGGCCGAGGCGGCCGCGGGGCCCGAGGGCGCGGCGGCGGAGAGCGCGGGGCGCGGGGCUUUGGCCCGCGUCAGCAGCGUCAAGCUCAUCUCCAAGGCCAAGAUCCGCACGGUCAAAAUGACCUUCGUCAUCGUGCUGGCCUUCAUCGUGUGCUGGACGCCAUUCUUCUUCGUGCAGAUGUGGAGCGUCUGGGACGCCGAGGCGCCCAAGGAAGCCUCGGCUUUCAUCAUUGCCAUGCUGCUGGCCAGCCUCAACAGCUGCUGCAACCCCUGGAUCUACAUGCUCUUCACGGGCCACCUCUUCCACGAGCUCCUGCAGCGCUUCCUCUGCUGCCCGUCCAGCUGCCUGAAGGGCCGCCGGCCCAGGGAGACCGGCGUCAGCAAAAAGAGCAACUCGUCCACCUUCAUCCUGAGCCCGGAUGGCUCCAGCCAGAGGGGCUGCUUGCAGCCAUCCACGGUGUGACCGGCGGGGCCAGGACCACCCCUCUUGGCUUGGAUUGUACAGCAGGGAGUCCGGCCAUUGGUGGUCGGGUACGUGUGUGUAUAAGAUUUUUGACAAGUGUGACAAGAGAAUUCAAUUGGGGAGAUUGUCUUUUCGAUAAAUGGCGCCCAGACAGCUGGAUAUCCACAUGCAAAAGAAUGCAGUUGGACCUCUACCUCAUACUAUAUACAAAAGUUAACUCAAAAUGCAUCAACCUAAUUGUAAGAGCUAAAACUAUAAAAGUCUUAGAAGACAACAUAGGGAUAAAUAUUUGUGACCUUGGGUUAGGCCAUGGUUUCUUAGAUAAUGACACUCAAAACAGAAGUCAAAGGAAAAAUAGAUAAAUUGGACCUCAUCAAAAUGGGGCACAAAACUUUUGUGUUUCAUAGGGCACUAUCGAGAAAGUGAUAAGACAGCUCAUAGAAUGGAAGAGAAUAUUUGGAAGCCAUAUACCUGUAUCUAGAAUACAUCAAGAAUGCUUACGAUUUAAGAAUGAAAAGCCAAAUAACCCACUUUAAAAAAUGGGCAACGUAUUUGAAUAAACAAGUGAAUAGACAUGUUUUCCUAUCUUCUCCAAAGAAGAGAUAUAAGUGGCCCAUAAGCACAUGAGAAGAUGCUUGAUAUUAUUACUCAUGAGGGAAAUGCAAAUCAAAACCACAGUGAAAUAGCACUGCACACCCAAUAAGAUGGCUCUAAUCAAAGAUACGGGCAAUGAUAGGUGCUGGUGAGGAUGGAGAGAAAGUGGAACUCUCCUCCGUCGCUUGUGGGAAGGUAAAAUGGUGCGGCCAAUUUGGAAAAUAGUUUGGCAAUUCCUGAAAAAGUUAAACAUAGAAUUACCAUAUGAGCCAGAAAUGCUACUCCUAGGUAUUUACUCAAGAGAAACGGAGGCAUAUAUACCAACAAAAACUUGUCCACAAAUGUUUAUAGCAGUAUAAUUCAUAAUAGCCAAAAAUGGAGAUAACCCAAAUACCUACCAACUGAUGAAUGGAUAACUAAAUGUAGUAUAUCUAUACAAUGGCACAUUAUUGAACUAUGGAAAGAAAGGAAGUGCUGACACGGGCUCCAACAUGGAUGAACCUUGAAAACGUCAUGCUAAGUGAAAGAAGCCUUGUGAGAAGCCACAUACUACAUGAUUCCAUUUAUAUGAAAUGCCCAGAAUAGGCAAAAUUACCAAGACAAAUUAUACAAUAGUGGUUGCCAGGGGCUGCAGGCUGGGGCAGGUGGGGAGUGACUGCUGAGCCCCAUAUGGGGCUUUCUUUGUGGUGAUGAAAAUUUUCUGGGGUUAGUGAUGUGCACGAUUUUGAGGAUAUGCUAAAAACCACUGAAUUAAAUACUUAAAAAAAAUGUUGACCAGCUGAAUUCAGAGGCAGCCAGCUUGAAGGAUGCAUUUCUUGGAAUCUCUUAACCUCCCAGAACUUUCGUUUCUCACUGGCUCACCAUUUGAGAAGAAUCCAUGGUUUUCUUACUCAGUUUUCCUGCGAGAGAUGGUGUUUCCAGUUUCAGCAAAAGUACCGGCAGUGAUAAGACCCGGUAAACAUGUCGUCAGAUGUCCUCUCAGCCUUGAGGUACAGCAUGACCGUGUCCAAGAAACACCUUUAGUCGUUAAAUACAGGACGUUAUAGAUCAGAGGUUUUCCGACUGGGACUGGCCAGCUCGGUGGGACUCCAGGGCACUUUUUAAAUUUGCACAUAUAUAUUUUUGGACUCACCGUGACACGGCAGGAGCACUUCCCAAAGCCCCAGAUCUCCACACACACUUUCCUCUUCUCCCUCCACACUGCAUUGUACACACACGUGCACACACACACACACACACACACACAGUAGAACGAGCUAGCAGGGUCUGGAUGUUCAGGGAAAAGAGAGGCGCGCGCUGAAAUGCCAGUGUUCGAAACCUCAGCACUCAGGACAAGAUCUUCAGUAUAACUGGAGACUGAGGACGAUGUCAUCUUUGGACCCAGAGGCAGCGCAGUGUGGCCGUGACGGGCGCUUCGUGUCAGCACCAGCCAGUCCCGGCUCUUCGGCAAGCUAACGGGAAGCUGGCUUGGGGUUCCGUGCCCACAUCCAGGACACCGGGCACCCUGGGUGCAAAUGCAGCCGUGGUGGGCUCUGUCGGCCUUUGAGCCUCUCUGCUCAGCAGCCAGAGACACCCCAUUCUCUGCAGUUCCCAGGGA